AUGUGUUGGUUCAUGGAUAACAGUCGCGCCGCCCAGCGCACACGUCGCCCACCUUGCCGCCGUCGCUCUCGCAUGUCACGCACCUUGCUAGAGCACCCGCGCACGUCGCAGACCUCGCCGCUGCACCCCGAGCAAGUUGCCGCCGGUGGUCAUUGGCCGGUCCGCUCGGUCCGGCCCGGGCUUGGCCGCCGCCGGUCCGGUCCCUCAAAUCAGGACCGCCAUGAUGCUCGGUCCGGUCCGGUCCGGACCGCCGGCGGCCGGUCCAAACGACGGCUCGGACCGGCCCGGACCGUGUCCACCCUGAGCCGCUACCGCUCCAUCAUCCUCGCCUGCACCCUCUACGUCCUGGGAUACGGCAUGGUCACUCUAGCGUCCACUCUACUGGAGCAAAGCUCCUUGCCGGCUGGCGACAUCCAUACCUCUUCCGGCCCUUCGUCGCUACAGGUGGCCUUCCUCUAUGCCUCGCUCUACCUAAUCGCCCUGGCGCAGGGCGCCGACAAGCCGUGCGCCUUGGCUUUCGCAGCCGACCAAUUUGAUCCCGAGCACCUCAAAGAGCGUGCAUCCCGUAGCUCCCUCUUUAACUGGUGGUUCUUCUCGAUGGCUGCCGGCAUCUCCAUCUCCGUCGCCGUCGUCAGCUACAUCCAGGAGAACAUCGGUUGGGGAAUCGGCUUUGGCAUGCUUUGCACCAUCAUGGUUUGUACCUUCAUCGUAUUCCUCUCUGGCACCCCCACCUAUCGCUUCUGCGUUCCCACCACCGAUGUUGAGAGUCCUUUCGCCCGCCUCGGUCGUAGCCUUGGCACACUCAUCAAGAGCUCAAGCUUCCCCUUUAGUACAAAUGGACACCAAGACGAGGAUGUUGUGGCCAAAUCCGAGGAGGCGCGCAACAUGCUCCGUGUGUUGCCGAUCUGGGCGGCAUGCCUGGCGUAUGGGGUUGCGUACGCACAAAUCAUGACGCUAUUCAACAAGCAGGGUCGCACGUCGAAUGUUAUAAAAAAGUGA
rnacentral:rRNA from 1 species